rnacentral:rRNA from 1 species
GAUGAACGCUGGCGGCGUGCUUAACACAUGCAAGUCGAACGAAGCACUUUAUUUGAUUUUCUUCGGAAAUGAAGAUUUUGUGACUGAGUGGCGGACGGGUGAGUAACGCGUGGAUAACCUGCCUCACACUGGGGGAUAACAGUUAGAAAUGACUGCUAAUACCGCAUAAGCGCACAGUGCCGCAUGGUACGGUGUGAAAAACUCCGGUGGUGUGAGAUGGAUCCGCGUCUGAUUAGCCAGUUGGCGGGGUAACGGCCCACCAAAGCGACGAUCAGUAGCCGACCUGAGAGGGUGACCGGCCACAUUGGGACUGAGACACGGCCCAAACUCCUACGGGAGGCAGCAGUGGGGAAUAUUGCGCAAUGGGGGAAACCCUGACGCAGCGACGCCGCGUGAGCGAUGAAGUAUUUCGGUAUGUAAAGCUCUAUCAGCAGGGAAGAAAAAAAUGACGGUACCUGACUAAGAAGCCCCGGCUAACUACGUGCCAGCCGCCGCCGUAAGAC